AGGGUAUCAACAACUAAAAAGAGAAUGCCCUACUAUCUUUGCCGAGAUGUGGGAGAAGGCAUCCAAGGCUCGAAAAUUUUAGAUGUUCACUCUAGAUAAAUUCUCCGAGUAGUUACUUCACUUGAUGCCAUAGCAACCUGAGAUCAUUAUUUUGUCUAUUUGUUUUGGAAAAUUGUAAGUUCUACAUAUGCUAUACCAACAGUAUCCAAUUAGAUGCUUUUGUCUAUUGAUGAGCAUCACAUUUACCAUUCCAAAGUAGUGCUCAUUUCAUUUUUCAAA
rnacentral:lncRNA from 1 species